CCUCCUCUCCCCGGCCCCCCGCGGUUCAUCCCAGGUUUGCCGGAACCUGUCCCAGAUGGGUCAGGGAUGCCCCGCGGUGCAGGACGGGGACAGACCCCAGCACACACCAGGUUUCGGUGUGGAGAUGGACAGAAGGACCCGGACGGUGGUGGUGGCCAGCAAGGACCACGUCCCAGAGCAGAGGGAGAGCCGGGACAGGGACACUGGGGUUCCAGCACUGGGCUGGGCCGUGCACCAGUGCUCCCAGAGCUGGACCUGAGCCGCAGGGAGCCCAGGAGAGACCGGAGGUGUCAGGGGCCAGGUCUGGACCACCAGCCCUGCAGACCACCAGCCCUGCGCUGCCUGGGGGGACCCCAGCCCUUCAGAGACACCGAGAAAGAAAUCAGAGCCACCCGCCUCCCCCAGACGAGCCCACGCAGCCGCAGCUCAGCCCCGGGAGGUGCCGGGGGGGCGGCUCAGCCCAUGCACGCAGAGGCUGCAUGCUCCCCAAAGGGCAGAGGCUCCCAGCGCCGAGGAGCUCGUCUGCAGAAAAAGAGGAACCCCGAAACAGCCCCUUCCUCGAGCACCAUUUCCCCACCACCGGGGAGGCCCAUCACCGGCGUUGGCCAUACUUGCAGCACCACGUCCCUGCCAUCUCUCCCGCACACGGGGACCUGGCUGUGGGGCAGCAGCCCCCCGGUGCUGCCGGGGCUCCCCCUCUCGCGCCUCGGCCCCGGUGAAGGAGCGGGGAGGGGGUGCAGCAUCCCCACGCCGCGCUCGCUGUUUACAUUCCUGCUGCUCCUUCCCCGGCCGCGCCAGCUGGGCCGGCAAUGGGGCGCAGGGCGGCUCGGCACGCGCUGGAGGGUGGCCAGCAGGAGCUCCCGGCCAGCGCCGAGCAACCCCCUGGCCCCGGUCCAGUGGCCACGAUCCAAGCGCCGGCGCUGGCGGCUGACGUGCCGGGGAAAGCCUCUCCCGGGCCCGGCGCUUCGCCUCCUCUCCUCCGCCCACGGAGCAGCCAUGGCAGCUGCUUUCCUCCCCCCUCCGGCUGUUUCCACGAUUAACCGCCAUGCCGGGAUCUCCCUGCUGACCCCGGGAAGCUUUCCGCUGGGAAGCCAAAAGGGAGGUGGAGGGGGGGGUUCAGUCUAUUUUGCCGGUGCAGCCUGGGGGGCAAAGGCGGGGAGGGGGCAGAGGAUGCGCCGGUGUCCCCAAGCGCCGUGGUGGGGGACUUGGUGGAGGUUACGGCACAUCCACAGACCCCUGUGGCAGCGCACGUCCUGCCAACACCACCACCCCCCAAUUUUCCCACUGGAUCCCAAGGGCUGGGAGCAAUUGCCAGGUCCCCCAGGAGCAUCGGGUCCGGCACGGCACCGACACGGUGACAAACAGGAAGAUCACGGCUGCGGUAUCAAAAAAAAAAAAAAAAAUUAAAAAAAAAAAGCGCC
rnacentral:lncRNA from 1 species